AGCGAACGCUGGCGGCAGGCCUAACACAUGCAAGUCGAGCGCCCAGCAAUGGGAGCGGCAGACGGGUGAGUAACGCGUGGGGAUCUGCCCAAUGGUACGGAAUAACCCAGGGAAACUUGGAUUAAUACCGUAUGUGCCCUUCGGGGGAAAGAUUUAUCGCCAUUGGAUGAACCCGCGUCGGAUUAGCUAGUUGGUGAGGUAAAGGCUCACCAAGGCGACGAUCCGUAGCUGGUCUGAGAGGAUGAUCAGCCACACUGGGACUGAGACACGGCCCAGACUCCUACGGGAGGCAGCAGUGGGGAAUAUUGGACAAUGGGCGCAAGCCUGAUCCAGCCAUGCCUCGUGAGUGAUGAAGGCCUUAGGGUUGUAAAGCUCUUUCGCCGGUGAAGAUAAUGACGGUAUCCGGAGAAGAAGCCCCGGCUAACUUCGUGCCAGCCGCCGCAGUAACAC
rnacentral:rRNA from 1 species